GGGUCGCUAGCACAAUGGUAGUGCAUCCGACUUUUAAUCGGAAGGUUGUUGGUUCGAGCCCAACGCGGCCCACCA
rnacentral:tRNA from 1 species